rnacentral:sRNA from 1 species
UAAGUUCACUUGUUUUAAAAUGUAAUUUCUGUUUCAAACGUUAAAUUGUAAUCAAAUUCAUAUUUUUGUUUCUGUGCUUUUGUUAAAUUCUGUUAUAAUCUGAUGAAGAUUACCCGCGGCAAUCGAAAUAUCGGAAAAAUUUAAAAUAAAACAAGCCGAACUAUCCACGAAAUUAUAAUAAAAAAGGGUCAACAACACACAACAAAAUAAAAUUUUUAUAUUUGAAGUAAUGCCGUUGAACCCUGCAUUUCUUGGAGAUCAAUCCAGUAAUGCCCUUUAAAUGGAUGCAUGCAUACAUAUAUCUAAAUCGCAACCGAUUUCCAAUUGGAAUAUUCUUCAUCUUUAGGCCAUAAAAGAGAUUUCUGACAAUUCUCAUCGAGAGAAUUAAUUUCCAUUUUGAAUGACAAAUACAUCAUUGUGUGGUGGUGGCAUUAUGGUACCAGGCGUUCCCCACGAAAGCGGCAUCUUACUUUUCUAACAUUUUGUUUAAACAUGGAAUUUUUUAUAUCAAAGAAUAUAUCGACGAAGAACUAUUCCAAAUUGAGCGCAGUUUUCAAAUAGACCCAAACUUAUUGGAUGACGCUUGGCAUUUGAUAUGUGAAAAUAUUAUACAUAUUAUCAAUAUAAUAGUAAUUUAUUUUUUUAUAUCAUUCUGUUGGAAUAGUUUAAGAAAUGACCAUUUGGUCCUGUUUCCACUAUUAUCAAACUCUAUAUAAGAAGUGCAAGCAGCAAAGUUCAAUAAAAUAAUAACUAUAUAUAGGUUU